rnacentral:lncRNA from 1 species
UUUAUAGCUUUGCGAGAAUCGAAAAUGACACAUUAAUAUCAAUUAAGUACUAUAACGUGAAGAAAUCAGCUACGUAGCAGUCAUAUAUUCAACCAAUUAUAUUUUUUUAAAAAAAACACAAUAGAAAUAUUUUUUAAAAAAUUAUAAUGGAAUAGGUGAACUCCACAAAAAUAAUUUAAUUAGUUGAAAGACACCACGUCGACAAUGUGAUUGUUGUAUUCUAUACUUUUUCUUAUAAAAUAAUGUACAUCAUAUAGACAAUAAAUUUAUAUUGAAUUUAGAAAAUAAUAGAAAUAUAAAACAAAGCUAUUAUAUAUGUAUGUUAUGUAAAAAGUUUAAAAGAAAAUUAAUAGAGUUUUCAUUU